rnacentral:misc_RNA from 1 species
UCUCCGUUGGUGAACCAGCGGAGGGAUCAUUACCGAGUUUACAACUCCCAAACCCCUAUGUGAACGUUACCAAACUGUUGCCUCGGCGGGAAAUUCAUGCCCCGGGCGCGUCGCAGCCCCGGACCAAGGCGCCCGCCGGAGGACCAACCAAAACUCUUUUGUAUGUCCCUCGCGGACUUUUAUAAUUCUGAACCAUCUCGGCGCCCCUAGCGGGCGUUUCGAAAAUGAAUCAAAACUUUCAGCAACGGAUCUCUUGGUUCUG